UACGUAGGGUGCAAGCGUUUGUCCGGAAUUAUUGGGCGUAAAGAGCUCGUAGGCGGUUUGUCGCGUCUGCCGUGAAAGUCCGGGGCUCAACUCCGGAUCUGCGGUGGGUACGGGCAGACUAGAGUGCGGUAGGGGAGAUUGGAAUUCCUGGUGUAGCGGUGGAAUGCGCAGAUAUCAGGAAGAACACCCGUGGCUAAGGCGGCUCUCUAGUACGGUACUGACGCUGAGACGCGAAAGCGUGGGGAGCGAACAGG
rnacentral:rRNA from 1 species